AGUUUGAUCAUGGCUCAGAUUGAACGCUGGCGGCAGGCUUAACACAUGCAAGUCGAGCGGGGAAAGGUAGCUUGCUACCUUACCUAGCGGCGGACGGGUGAGUAAUGCUUAGGAAUCUGCCUAUUAGUGGGGGACAACAUUCCGAAAGGAAUGCUAAUACCGCAUACGCCCUACGGGGGAAAGCAGGGGAUCUUCGGACCUUGCGCUAAUAGAUGAGCCUAAGUCAGAUUAGCUAGUUGGUGGGGUAAAGGCCUACCAAGGCGACGAUCUGUAGCGGGUCUGAGAGGAUGAUCCGCCACACUGGGACUGAGACACGGCCCAGACUCCUACGGGAGGCAGCAGUGGGGAAUAUUGGACAAUGGGCGCAAGCCUGAUCCAGCCAUGCCGCGUGUGUGAAGAAGGCCUUUUGGUUGUAAAGCACUUUAAGCGAGGAGGAGGCUACUUGGAUUAAUACUCUAGGAUAGUGGACGUUACUCGCAGAAUAAGCACCGGCUAACUCUGUGCCAGCAGCCGCGGUAAUACAGAGGGUGCGAGCGUUAAUCGGAUUUACUGGGCGUAAAGCGUGCGUAGGCGGCUUUUUAAGUCGGUUGUGAAAUCCCUGAGCUUAACUUAGGAAUUGCAUUCGAUACUGGGAAGCUAGAGUAUGGGAGAGGAUGGUAGAAUUCCAGUGUAGCGGUGAAAUGCGUAGAGAUCUGGAGGAAUACCGAUGGCGAAGCAGCCAUCUGGGCCUAAUACUGACGCUGAGGUACGAAAGCAUGGGGAGCAAACAGGAUUAGAUACCCUGGUAGUCCAUGCCGUAACGAUGUCUACUAGCCGUUGGGGC
rnacentral:rRNA from 1 species